GAUUCCUCCUCCGUUCCUUAGCCCAUGGUUCAGAACCGUAAUGAUGCACAUCAGCAGGGUGUCACACACUCGCUCUGUACCAUCUUCAUCCUCUUCUUCCACUGGGAUGAAAGAGCACACAAAUAUACAGACACAGGAGAAGAAACUAAGAAAAGACAUCAACAAUGUAAGAAAGAUGGGAAGACUGAAGGAAUGAGCGUGAAAAGUGUGCGUGUGCCCUUUCUGUCCUCAGUGCUUGUGCAGUGCACAGAGGAAGUGAUUACAUAAGGGAGUGUGGCCACUGCUGGGUUAUGCAACAGGUGCCAUGUGCUAGCAUUUCCUCUCCCAUCUCAACAACGCUACAUGGACAUGUGUGUUCAUAUAAACACAAAUAUCUUCACCUUCACGCAUCCACAUGUGUGUGCAUGCAUGCACAGAUUCACUGAGUACAUACGGAAUUCAUCACAGAUGUGGUAAUCUCACUAAAAGAGACAUUUUACUGCUAUCCAUACCAAGUCGUUUACACAUACGAUAUGCAGGGUUGCACAUCAGCACAUGACAAUGACUUCAUCCAUGCAGAACAUUUGGGAAAUAUGAAACGAAAGACCAAAACCACAAGUUCUAUGCAAUGUGCAGCUGGAAAGAUAGGAGUGUGACGGUGACAUCAUGUACACUUCAU